rnacentral:rRNA from 1 species
UUCCUACGGGGCGCAGCAGUGGGGAAUAUUGCACAAUGGGCGAAAGCCUGAUGCAGCAACGCCGCGUGAGCGAUGAAGGCCUUCGGGUCGUAAAGCUCUGUCCUCAAGGAAGAUAAUGGCGGUACUUUAGGAGGAAGCCCCGGCUAACUACGUGCCAGCAGCCGCGGUAAUACGUAGGGGGGUAGCGUUAUCCGGGAUUACUGGGCGUAAAGGGGGCGUAGGGGGUUUCUUUA